AGACCCCUGGGCUAACAGCCCAAGGGAUGCACCUCAAUGGCCCCCACCGGUGUCCAUAUCAGCACGCCUGGACCAGCUCAGAACAACAGCCCCCACCAAUGUCUCAGUCUCUGGAGAGGAUCCUCCUCUCACCAAGAUGCCCCCAGAGCCCACCAGGGAUUAAAACACUUAUCUCACAACAUCUUUGGGAGGAUCAAAUGAAAUAAUAAAUGUGAAAGUGCUUUGUCAACCAAAGACUGCUAUAAAAAUAAAUGUAGACCGAGGUUGAGGCUAUCGUUGCAGAAUUGUAAUCUCUGCACUUGAAAUUGAUGUGGAUAUGCAAGCAAAUGAAAGGAAAAUGAAAGAUUUUUUCCCCUGGAAGAGACCCCUCUUCGCCCAUCACUACAUGUCAGACUGAAGAAACAAGGAUGCUGAAUCCCCAGCUUAAUGCCAUCCCCUCUCGAACUAGGAACUCAUUUGUUCAAACUAAGAUUUCAAGAUGAAACUCCAAUCAGCAGUCCCCGUGAAAGUAUCAUUUCAAUCCAAAGAUUUUUUGAAGGAUGGACUGAUUAAAUAAUGAGUUUAGAAAUAUAAAUAAAGAAGUAGGACAGCAAAGUAAAAAAAUAAUCCCCUGGGAUUUAGAAUUGAUACAUUUAGGGCCUAAAAAUAAGAAAAAAAAAAUUAAAUAGCAAGUACUCCAAGAGUGUAAAGUUCUUAAAGACAUUAACAAUGGAUAUGGUUUUACUGUUUAAUUCCCCCUUGGACUAGCCCCAUUCUCCUCCCUGAGAGAAUGAUGGCUUCUCUUAAUUGAAGGCAGCGUAGAUGUGACUUUUCGGAGUGGGGAAGAGAAUAAAUCAAAAGGUACACCCCUGUCCUCCUUAAAAAAUAUUCUUCACCUGUCCUUGAAAUUUUAGGCUUU
rnacentral:lncRNA from 1 species